rnacentral:ncRNA from 1 species
UAGGAGAGUUGGGGUUCGGCUCCCCUCCUCCAACCCAGGGUGACUCUUAAGGUGGAGGGGAC